GAUGAACGCUGGCGGCGUGCCUAAUACAUGCAAGUCGAACGCACAGCGAAAGGUGCUUGCACCUUUCAAGUGAGUGGCGAACGGGUGAGUAACACGUGGACAACCUGCCUCAAGGCUGGGGAUAACAUUUGGAAACAGAUGCUAAUACCGAAUAAAACUCAGUGUCGCAUGACACAAAGUUAAAAGGCGCUUUGGCGUCACCUAGAGAUGGAUUCGCGGUGCAUUAGUUAGUUGGUGGGGUAAAGGCCUACCCAGACAAUGAUGCAUAGCCGAGUUGAGAGACUGAUUGGCCACAUUGGGACUGAGACACGGCCCCAACUCCUACGGGAGGCUGCAGUAGGGAAUUUUCCCCAAUGGGCGAAAGCCUGAUGGAGCAACGCCGCGUGUGUGAUGAAGGCUUUCGGGUUGUAAAGCACUUUAAGUGGGGAGGAGGCUCUUUUGGUUAAUACCUGAGAGGAGUGGACGUUACCCACAGAAUAAGCCCCGGCUAACUCUGUG
rnacentral:rRNA from 1 species